GACGAACGCUGGCGGCGUGCCUAAUACAUGCAAGUCGAACGCAGUGGGGACGGGUGAGUAACACGUGGGUAACCUCCCCUCAGAGGGGAUAACACUGGGAGACAGGUGCUAAACCUUUAUUGGUGGAUGGACCCGCGGUGCAUUAGCUAGUUGGUGUGGUAACGGAUCACCAAGGCCACGAUGCAUAGCCGACCUGAGAGGGGGAUCGGGCACACUGCGAUGGAGAUAAGGCCCAGACUAAUACGGGAGGCAGCAGUAGGGAAUCGUCGGCAAUGGACGAAAUGCUGGCCGAACCACGCCGAGUGAGUGAAGAGGGGUUUCGGAUCGUAAAACUCUGUUGUUAUAGAAGCGGUAUCUAACCAAAAAGCAACGGCUAACUACGUGCCAGCAGCCGCGGUAAUAC
rnacentral:rRNA from 1 species